rnacentral:misc_RNA from 1 species
GAAAUGCGAUAAGUAAUGUGAAUUGCAGAAUUCAGUGAAUCAUCGAAUCUUUGAACGCACAUUGCGCCCACCAGUAUUCUGGCGGGCAUGCCUGUUCGAGCGUCAUUACAACCCUCAGGCCCCCGGGCCUGGCGUUGGGGAUCGGCGGAAGCCCCCUGCGGGCACAACGCCGUCCCCCAAAUACAGUGGCGGUCCCGCCGCAGCUUCCAUUGCGUAGUAGCUAACACCUCGCAACUGGAGAGCGGCGCGGCCACGCCGUAAAACACCCAACUUCUGAAUGUUGACCUCGAAUCAGGUAGGAAUACCCGCUGAACUUAAGC